GUUAGGAAUAUUGGACAAUGGGCGCAAGCCUGAUCCAGCCAUGCCGCGUGAGUGAUGAAGGCCUUCGGGUUGGAAAGCUCUUUAGUCCACGAAUAUAAUGACUGUAGUGGAAGAAUAAGCCCCGGCUAACUUCGUGCCAGCAGCCGCGGUAAUACGAAGGGGGCGAGCGUUAUUCGGAAUCACUGGGCGUAAAGCGUGCGUAGGCUGGUUUGUAAGUCAGAAGUGAAAGCCCAGGGCUUAACCCUGGAAUUGCUUUUGAAACUACAAGACUCGAAUUCGGGAGAGGAUAGCGGAAUUGUCAGUGUAGCAGUGAAAUGAGUAGAUAUUGACAGGAACACCAGUGGCGCAAGCGGCUAUCUGGACCGAUAUUGACGCUGAGGUACGAAAGUGUGGGUAGCGAACAGGAUUAGAUACCCGAGUAGUCC
rnacentral:rRNA from 1 species